rnacentral:rRNA from 1 species
UGUGUAGGCGGUAUUGUUAGUCUCUCGUAAAAGCUUUUGGGCUUAACCCAGAAAAUGCGGGGGAAACGGCAGUACUUAGAGGACGCGAGAGGUAAAGGGAACUCAAGGUGUAGGGGUGAAAUCCGUUGAUAUCUUGGGGAACACCAAAUGCGAAGGCACUUUACUGGCGCGCUCCUGACGCUGAAACACGAAAGCGUGGGAAUCGAACG